GUGGGGAAUAUUGCACAAUGGGGGAAACCCUGAUGCAGCAACGCCGCGUGAGUGAUGAAGGUCUUCGGAUUGUAAAACUCUGUCUUUGGGGACGAUAAUGACGGUACCCAAGGAGGAAGCCACGGCUAACUACGUGCCAGCAGCCGCGGUAAUACGUAGGUGGCAAGCGUUGUCCGGAUUUACUGGGCGUAAAGGGAGCGUAGGCGGAUUUUUAAGUGGGAUGUGAAAUACCCGGGCUUAACCUGGGUGCUGCAUUCCAAACUGGAAGUCUAGAGUACAGGAGGGGAAAGUGGAAUUCCUAGUGUAGCGGUGAAAUGCGUAGAGAUUAGGAAGAACACCGGUGGCGAAGGCGACUUUCUGGACUGUAACUGACGCUGAGGCUCGAAAGCGUGGGGAGCAAACAGGAUUAGAUACCCGAGUAGUCC
rnacentral:rRNA from 1 species